GACGAACGCUGGCGGCGCGCCUAACACAUGCAAGUCGAACGGAGCUUAGAGAGCUUGCUUUUUAAGCUUAGUGGCGAACGGGUGAGUAACGCGUGAGUAACCUGCCCUAGAGUGGGGGGACAACAGUUGGAAACGACUACUAAUACCGCAUAAGCCCACGGUAUCGCAUGAUACUGAGGGAAAAGGAUUUAUUCGCUUUAGGAUGGACUCGCGUCCAAUUAGCUAGUUGGUGAGGUAACGGCCCACCAAGGCGACGAUUGGUAGCCGGACUGAGAGGUUGAACGGCCACAUUGGGACUGAGACACGGCCCAGACUCCUACGGGAGGCAGCAGUGGGGGAUAUUGCACAAUGGGGGAAACCCUGAUGCAGCGACGCCGCGUGGAGGAAGAAGGUUUUCGGAUUGUAAACUCCUGUCGUUAGGGACGAUAAUGACGGUACCUAACAAGAAAGCACCGGCUAACUA
rnacentral:rRNA from 1 species